UACGGAGGGUGCAAGCGUUAUCCGGAAUCAUUGGGUUUAAAGGGUCCGUAGGCGGGUCAUUAAGUCAGGGGUGAAAUCCUACAGCUUAACUGUAGAACUGCCUUUGAUACUGGUGGUCUUGAGUUUUAGUGAAGUAGAUAGAAUAUGUAGUGUAGCGGUGAAAUGCAUAGAUAUUACAUAGAAUACCGAUUGCGAAGGCAGUCUACUAACUAACAACUGACGCUAAUGGACGAAAGCGUGGGGAGCGAACAGG
rnacentral:rRNA from 1 species